GAAACAAAAGGACAUGUCCUAUGGGGACAUCUAUUGCACCCUUUUGGAACCCUUCUUUCUAAGAGUGUAGGCCUACGUACAAGUGCUGCAUGCCCCUGUACCUCGCGCGGGUGGGUAUGUGUGUGUUGGUGUGUGUAUGGGUGUGCCACCGUAGUGUGUGUGUGUGUGUGUGUGUGUGUGUGUGUGUGUGUGUGUGUGUGUGUGUGUGUGUGUGUGUGUGUGUGUGUGUGUGUGUGUGUGUGUGUGUGUGUGUGUGUGUGUGUGUCUCCAGUACAUGACUAGGGCCGAGCUCCCUGCCAUCCAGGACCUCUAUAUAAGGCGUGUGAACGGAGCGCCUGUGAUAUUGAUAAAAACUUCAGCUAGGGUUAGGAGCUAGGGUUAGGGUAAGGGUUAGGGUUAGGGUUAGGGUUAGGGUAAGGGUUAGGGUAAGGAGCUAGGGUUAGGUUUAGGGUUAGGGUAAGGAGCUAGGGUUAGGUUUAGGGUUAGGGUAAGGAGCUAGGGUUAGGUUUAGGGUUAGGGUAAGGAGCUAGGGUUAGGUUUAGGGUAAGGAGCUAGGGUUAGGUUUAGGGUAAGGAGCUAGGGUUAGGUUUAGGGUUAGGGUAAGGAGCUAGGGUUAGGUUUAGGGUUAGGAGCUAGGGUUAGGUUUAGGGUUAGGGUAAGGAGCUAGGGUUAGGUUUAGGGUUAGGGUAAGGAGCUAGGGUUAGGUUUAGGGUUAGGGUAAGGAGCUAGGGUUAGGUUUAGGGUUAGGGUAAGGAGCUAGGGUUAGGUUUAGGGUUAGGAGCUAGGGUUAGGUUUAGGGUUAGGGUAAGGAGCUAGGGUUAGGUUUAGGGUUAGGAGCUAGGGUUAGGUUUAGGGUUAGGGUAAGGAGCUAGGGUUAGGUUUAGGGUUAGGGUUAGGAGCUAGGGUUAGGUUUAGGGUUAGGGUAAGGAGCUAGGGUUAGGGUUAGGGUUAGGGUUACCUUGUUGUGUGUCUAUCUGUGUGUGUGUGUGUGUGUGUGUGUGUGUGUGUGUGUGUGUGUGUGUG
rnacentral:lncRNA from 1 species